GUUUGAUCCUGGCUCAGGAUGAACGCUAGCGGCAGGCUUACACAUGCAAGUCGAGGGGUAUAGUUCUUCGGAACUAGAGACCGGCGCACGGGUGCGUAACGCGUAUGCGAUCUACCUUUCACAGAGGGAUAGCCCAGAGAAAUUUGGAUUAAUACCUCAUAGUAUGUAUGAAUGGCAUCAUUUAUACAUUAAAGUCACAACGGUGAAAGAUGAGCAUGCGUCCCAUUAGCUAGAUGGUAAGGUAACGGCUUACCAUGGCAACGAUGGGUAGGGGUCCUGAGAGGGAGAUCCCCCACACUGGUACUGAGACACGGACCAGACUCCUACGGGAGGCAGCAGUGAGGAAUAUUGGACAAUGGGCGCAAGCCUGAUCCAGCCAUGCCGCGUGCAGGAUGACGGUCCUAUGGAUUGUAAACUGCUUUUGUACAGGAAGAAACACUGGUUCGUGAACCAGCUUGACGGUACUGUAAGAAUAAGGAUCGGCUAACUCCGUGCCAGCAGCCGCGGUAACACGGAGGAUCCAAGCGUUAUCCGGAAUCAUUGGGUUUAAAGGGUCCGUAGGCGGUUUAGUAAGUCAGUGGUGAAAGCCCAUCGCUCAACGGUGGAACGGCCAUUGAUACUGCUAAACUUGAAUUAUUAGGAAGUAACUAGAAUAUGUAGUGUAGCGGUGAAAUGCUUAGAGAUUACAUGGAAUACCAAUUGCGAAGGCAGGUUACUACUAAUGGAUUGACGCUGAUGGACGAAAGCGUGGGUAGCGAACAGGAUUAGAUACCCUGGUAGUCCACGCCGUAAACGAUGGAUACUAGCUGUUGGGCGCAAGUUCAGUGGCUAAGCGAAAGUGAUAAGUAUCCCACCUGGGAGUACGUUCGCAAGAAUGAAACUCAAAGGAAUUGACG
rnacentral:rRNA from 1 species